rnacentral:rRNA from 1 species
AGCGAACGCUGGCGGCAGGCCUAACACAUGCAAGUCGAACGGACCCUUCGGGGUUAGUGGCGGACGGGUGAGUAACACGUGGGAACGUGCCUUUAGGUUCGGAAUAGCUCCUGGAAACGGGUGGUAAUGCCGAAUGUGCCCUUCGGGGGAAAGAUUUAUCGCCUUUAGAGCGGCCCGCGGCUGAUUAGCUAGUUGGUGAGGUCAUGGCUCACCAAGGCGACGAUCAGUAGCUGGUCUGAGAGGAUGACCAGCCACAUUGGGACUGAGACACGGCCCAAACUCCUACGGGAGGCAGCAGUGGGGAAUCUUGCGCAAUGGGCGAAAGCCUGACGCAGCCAUGCCGCGUGGAUGAUGAAGGUCUUAGGAUUGUAAAAUCCUUUCACCGGUGAAGAUAAUGACUGUAGUCGGAGAAGAAGCCCCGGCUAACUUCGUGCCAGCCGCCGCAGUAAAAC